CAGCUCUUUGCGCCGGGUAGUACGCGGGGGUAAUCUGCCUUAGAGUGGGGGAUAACUAGUCGAAAGAUUAGCUAAUACCGCAUAAGACCACAAGAACUGCGGUUCAAGGGGUCAAAGGUUUUUCGCUCUAAGAUGAGUCCGCGUAAGAUUAGCUAGUUGGUGAGGUAAUGGCUCACCAAGGCGACGAUCUUUAACUGGUCUGAGAGGAUGAUCAGUCACACUGGAACUGAGACACGGUCCAGACUCCUACGGGAGGCAGCAGUAGGGAAUAUUGCACAAUGGAGGAAACUCUGAUGCAGCGACGCCGCGUGAGUGAUGAAGGCCUUCGGGUCGUAAAGCUCUGUCGCAGGGGAAUAACACAAUGAAUGUACCCUGUAAGAAAGGAUCGGCUAACUUCGUGCCAGCAGCCGCGGUAAGACGAGGGAUCCUAGCGUUGUUCGGAAUUAUUGGGCGUAAAGCGGAUGUAGGUGGCUUUGUAAGUCAGAUGUGAAAGCCCAGGGCUCAACCCUGGAAGUGCAUUUGAUACUGCGAAGCUUGAGUGUCGGAGAGGUUACUAGAAUUGUUGGUGUAGUGGUGAAAUACGUAGAUAUCAACAGGAAUACCGGAGGCGAAGGCGGGUAACUGGCCGAACACUGACACUGAGAUCCGAAAGCGUGGGGAUCAAACAGGAUUAGAUACCCUGGUAGUCCACGCCGUAAACGAUGGAUACUUGUUGUUAGAGGUAUUGACCCCUUUCAGUGAACGA
rnacentral:rRNA from 1 species